rnacentral:tRNA from 1 species
GCCGAGGUGGCGGAACUGGUAGACGCGCCAGAUUUAGGUUCUGGUGGGGCAUCCCGUGGAGGUUCGAGUCCUCUCCUCGGCACCA